rnacentral:rRNA from 1 species
GACGAACGCUGGCGGCGUGCUUAACACAUGCAAGUCGAACGGAAAGGCCCUGCUUUUGUUGGGUGCUCGAGUGGCGAACGGGUGAGUAACACGUGAGUAACCUGCCCUUGACUUUUGGAUAACUUCAGGAGACUGGGGCUCAUACCGGAUAUGAGCUCCUGCUGCAUGGUGGGGGUUGGAAAGUUUCGGCGGUUGGGGAUGGACUCGCGGCUUAUCAGCUUGUUGGUGGGGUAGUGGCUUACCAAGGCUUUGACGGGUAGCCGGCCUGAGAGGGUGACCGGCAAAAUUGGGACUGAGAUACGGCCAAGACUCCUACGGGAGGCAGCAGUGGGGAAUAUUGCACAAUGGGCGGAAGCCUGAUGCAGCAACGCCGCGUGCGGGAUGACGGCCUUCGGGUUGUAAACCGCUUUCGCCUGUGACGAAGCGUGAGUGACGGUAAUGGGUAAAGAAGCACCGGCUAACUACGUG